UUGUGCUACUCAAAAAAAACCCACUCAAAACAAGAGCAACCUAACUGCACUCACGACGUGGGGUGGAUACCCCCUGAGUUGUCCAAAAACACCAUUAAACUUAAAGAAAGUGACUGAUUUGAGACAGACUGAUCUUGACGACCAGGCAUUUACUGGGUGGCCCCUAAUGGAACUCAGUGGCUACGUGGAAUAAAUCUUUGGCCCUGGCUUCCACUUGGGUGGCUAGGACGUUGCACCCUCGGUUCCCCGUGGAUGCAAGGAAGGGCUUGCCCCAAAUUAACAACUGUCACUAAUCUCCCUCUCCUUAAAGCCAGGUGGACUCGUGCAGGUUUUCACUGGUACAGUCACUUAGCUGCCCCAUUUGUUCCUUCUAUAGGGUUAUAAGAUGUCAUAUUGCAUACAGAAGCCUUGACUCAGUUCACCCAACAGGCUCUUAACAGUAGCCGAACUGGAAUAUCACUAUUGAAUACUGAAAUGUCUUUAAUGAGAAAGGCCAUCCUCCAAAAUGGAACGGCCCUGGACAUGACAAGUGGGUCACAAGGUGGUCCUUGUGCUGUCUUCCAAGCUGAAUGUUGUGUUUUUAUACCUGAUGAAUCUUCCAACCUCUCAUUUUUGUUAAGUCACGUGAGAAAGUACGGAAGUGCCUUUAGCGAUCCUACACCCAGUCUGAACGAUUUGUUUAGUUGGCUUCCCACAGGCUUUGGCACAUUUCCACAGUCCGGAUUACAAUUUCUCCUUCUGCUGCUCCUUGGAAUUUUUGUAUUGAUCACAGUAUUUAAACUAAUCACUGUUUUCUCUACUCAGUGUUGUCAAACCAGCAUUCAGGUCAAGUGGCAGUCUCAGGACAGCUAGAGCCAAUAUGCAGAAUUGCGUUCCUAACUUCGACGUCUGUCCAAGAUGUUCUUGUGGAUGUACAGACGCAUCCUCAUGAACGUGGCCAUGCCUCAUCUUGUCUGCCGUGUUGUUCAAAUGUGGCCCUCCCUAACGAUAAAUAAGAGAAUACCUGUGCAGACUCGUUCCUAUUUCCCCCACCCAAGGACAGAGGGACCCAGGGCAGGUGCCAUCCAGGCUGAUCCUGAGGGACUAAGGAAAUUGAUCAUCAGUGCUACCAUUCUGGUAGAUUUCGAUCAAAAGGGAGAGACAUGGAAUUGGGAAAAGAUGGAAUCCCUCAUAUUAUGGCACUAAAACGGAGCCAGGCGGCCCUGAGGAGGAGAGGAACAAAUUCCUCCUUCAGGAUGAGCUCUUGAACUCAUUAGAAGCCUGAAAUGUGUCUGCAGCUUUCUCCCGUUCCUGCCAGAGUCACCUCUGCACAUUCCUGAGUUUAAUGGCUUGUGUCAACCGACCCUCACCCCCACGACUACCUAGCACCUGGAACUUGUUAAAAAACAUUCCUUCUCUUUUUUUCUUUGCCUUUGUUAGUCUCAACAAUAAAGCUUGCCUUCUCCCUUCAACCGUCAGAACCCAGCUCAAGUGCUGCUGGAAUCCGCAUUCCCGGGCUGCACUGCUAACCAGCCCCGAAUAAACUUUUUGUUUUAAGUUUA
rnacentral:lncRNA from 1 species